rnacentral:lncRNA from 1 species
UUCCCUUUGAAAUCCGUGAUAAUUUGCAAGCCCUGCCACAUCCGAUGAGCGCCACAGUCGGCGUAGUAGUAUUCAAUGUUAGUCCUGUAUUGGCGUUGUGACUCUUUGAUGGCUCGUCGGAGGUCGUAGCGGGAUUCUUAUGAGCAUCCGGAAUAGUGUCCCGCUCUUUGAAAUCGACAGCUUUUGCCUUUAGCUCAGUGCUGAUGUUGCCUGUAAUCCAUGGCUUCUGGUUGGGAUAUUGUGACGACCCUCCCACUCGGUCUGCCAAAUUCUUUCUCUCUGCUCUUGUUUUCCUUAAUAGGAUGUCGGUGGGCGGAGCUGGGAGGGUUGUCAGCGGAAUGGGACACACCUGGGCUUGGGUGUGUCCCGGGGAUAAACACACCUUUCCCCCAUACAUCAAGGAGACUCUCUCCAUGCAGAUACACUGUUGUUUUUGGUUGCGCACCAGCUGUUGUUAACAAAGAGACACACACCUCCCCCGUUAACCUUACCCAAAGCUGCCAUUCGGUAUUGACAAUGCAUAGAAAAACCAUCUAGAAGUAAAUAUUAUCCAUAUCCUUGUUCAGCCACGACUCUGAGAAAUAUAGAAUAUUACAGUUCGUCAGGUCCCAUUGAUAGGAUAGUCAAGAACGAAGCUUGUCCAGUUUGUUCUCUAGUGAUUGUACGUUUGCAAAUAGAACGGAGGGUAGAGGGUGUUUAUUUACUCGCCAACGAAGUCUUGUCAGGCAGCCCUCUUGUUUGCCUCUCAUGCACCGUCUCUUCCUCUUUCAAGUCCCGGGAUUAGGGCCUGGUCUGGAAUAAGCAGUACAUCCACAGCUGCCGACUCGCUGAAGUAGAAGUCUUCAUCCAAAUUGAGGAAUUCCUGAUGGUCCGGUGCAGCUGAUCUUUAUCUCUCCUGAAAGCCUGUUCAUUGACCAGUGGUGGUCCUGGCUGACGACCAUUAAGCACAGGAUAUGCCUCCUGGCCAUGGACAAUGUGCACUGCAUGACAUUCAGAGUAAAAAAUAAAUAAACGUAUUGAUGUCACUUGUCUCUUGCAAGCAUAUAAUGCAACUCAAGUACAUGCAGUAACUAUAAACACAACACAUUCUUUGACACCAUAAUUCCCAUCCCUGCAGAGAACGAUACCUAAGCAUGUGACAUCUUUCAAUAACAUACCAUUCUUUAUUGCUGUCUUUAAUGCAAUGAGUUUCACCAAAGUAACUCUGGUUUCAGAUAAACGGUAAUACUGUAUGUACGCACACAAACAUAAAAAGGAGAGCCCAACAGCUAAAUCAUACAUCAC